AUGACCAUAUGGGUCCAGGUACGAGAUCUUCCGUUCGUGCUUAAGACCAAAAGUAUAGGGUGGUCUCUAGAGGAUCAAUUGGGUGAGGUGCUGGAGGUAUCGCACCGUAACCAUGUAAUCGUUGAAAAAUAUUUGCGUAUGCGUGUGAAGCUCCUACUGCAUGAACCUCUGAAGACUUCUGUAGAGUUUACCCCCUUAGGUAGUUCAAAGAUACUUAAAUUCGAUGUAAAAUAUGAGAAGCUUCCUUUGUACUGUGAGUGUUGUGGGAUUGUCGGUCAUACUUCUGAGAGAUUUUGUAAAAUCCCAAGUGAGAAGAGAGUAGUUUGCUUCCCUAGAAAUCUUAGUGUUGAGCCCUACUGGAAGAGCCAAGGUGCUAGUAGGAGGGGUCUCCUCUUCGGGAACUACUCACGUGGCGACAAGAAUCCGACUACAACCAUUGCCAACAACAACAACAACAAUGCCAAACCCAUGGACGUCGUCAAGGUGGCCACUGCUGUGAGUGGGCUCACGGUCUCUGAUAAGGGGGCCACUACUUUUGCCAAGACGACCACCGGCAAGGAGGGCCGGGUUCAGGAGGUCCUGGCGCAUGCUCCGGCUGAUGCGUCACUUGGUCAGGUGGACCAGGUGGGCGCGCUGGCUGCUUCAGUCUGGGGCCAUAAGUCCCUGGAGGACUCUCGUCGCUGUGCAUCGCAUGACCAGGAGGGUCUCCCACUCGGCCAGGAGGGCUGGGUUCAUGUGGCUCGUCCGCCGGCUCUUUUUGCUGCCGCUCCCGGUCAGGCGGACCGGGAAAUGGCUCUGGCUGCCCCUACUAAACUUGGCCGGGAGGGCCAAGGGCUGGCGGUGCGGGGAUGCACCCAUUCGGGUGAGCUGCAGGGCCAGGAGGGCCAUGACCUGAUAUGGCCAGUAGAACCCAGCCAUGCCAAGGCGAUUGCUGCUGCUGCUGGCCACAGUGGAUGUCCUACUGGCCAGGAGGGUCAGGGGAUCCAUCCGAUGGGUGGAGGCAAUUUUUCACAGGGUGCAGCUACAGCUGUUGCUAAACAUGAUGGGCUAUUAUUCAUGCCCGGUGUGCUGGAGGCUCUUACAGGGGUUGUUGCUGCUAGGCUGGCUACUCAGGAGACAACAAAUGAUAAUGUGGCGUUUACUUUUAAGGCUGGGAAAAAUGAGAAGCGGGGCCAGCAAAAGAGGAAGGGGAGGAAAGGAAAAAAAUGUGCGAGUUUUUGA
rnacentral:rRNA from 1 species